GGGUUGUGAGGUUAAGCGACUAAGCGUACACGGUGGAUGCCCUGGCAGUCAGAGGCGAUGAAGGGCGUGCUAAUCUGCGAUAAGCGCCGGUAAGGUGAUAUGAACCGUUAUAACCGGCGAUACCCGAAUGGGGAAACCCAGUGUGACUCGUCACACUAUCAUUAACUGAAUCCAUAGGUUAAUGAGGCGAACCGGGGGAACUGAAACAUCUAAGUACCCCGAGGAAAAGAAAUCAACCGAGAUUCCCCCAGUAGCGGCGAGCGAACGGGGAGGAGCCCAGAGCCUGAAUCAGCAUGUGUGUUAGUGGAAGCGUCUGGAAAGGCGCGCGAUACAGGGUGACAGCCCCGUACACAAAAGCGCAUGUGCUGUGAGCUCGAUGAGUAGGGCGGGACACGUGGUAUCCUGUCUGAAUAUGGGGGGACCAUCCUCCAAGGCUAAAUACUCCUGACUGACCGAUAGUGAACCAGUACCGUGAGGGAAAGGCGAAAAGAACCCCGGCGAGGGGAGUGAAAAAGAACCUGAAACCGUGUACGUACAAGCAGUGGGAGCACAGGUUUACCUGUGUGACUGCGUACCUUUUGUAUAAUGGGUCAGCGACUUAUAUUCUGUAGCAAGGUUAACCGUAUAGGGGAGCCGUAGGGAAACCGAGUCUUAACCGGGCGUUAAGUUGCAGGGUAUAGACCCGAAACCCGGUGAUCUAGCCAUGGGCAGGUUGAAGGUUGGGUAACACUAACUGGAGGACCGAACCGACUAAUGUUGAAAAAUUAGCGGAUGACCUGUGGCUGGGGGUGAAAGGCCAAUCAAACCGGGAGAUAGCUGGUUCUCCCCGAAAGCUAUUUAGGUAGCGCCUCGUGAAUUCAUCUCCGGGGGUAGAGCACUGUUUCGGCUAGGGGGCCAUCCCGGCUUACCAACCCGAUGCAAACUGCGAAUACCGGAGAAUGUUAUCACGGGAGACACACGGCGGGUGCUAACGUCCGUCGUGAAGAGGGAAACAACCCAGACCGCCAGCUAAGGUCCCAAAGUCAUGGUUAAGUGGGAAACGAUGUGGGAAGGCCCAGACAGCCAGGAUGUUGGCUUAGAAGCAGCCAUCAUUUAAAGAAAGCGUAAUAGCUCACUGGUCGAGUCGGCCUGCGCGGAAGAUGUAACGGGGCUAAACCAUGCACCGAAGCUGCGGCAGCGACGCUGAUGCGUUGUUGGGUAGGGGAGCGUUCUGUAAGCCUGCGAAGGUGGCCUGUGAGGGUUGCUGGAGGUAUCAGAAGUGCGAAUGCUGACAUAAGUAACGAUAAAGCGGGUGAAAAGCCCGCUCGCCGGAAGACCAAGGGUUCCUGUCCAACGUUAAUCGGGGCAGGGUGAGUCGACCCCUAAGGCGAGGCCGAAAGGCGUAGUCGAUGGGAAACGGGUUAAUAUUCCCGUACUUGGUGUUACUGCGAAGGGGGGACGGAGAAGGCUAUGUUGGCCGGGCGACGGUUGUCCCGGUUUAAGCGUGUAGGUGUGUGUUCCAGGUAAAUCCGGUUCACUUUAACACUGAGGCGUGAUGACGAGGCACUACGGUGCUGAAGCAACAAAUGCCCUGCUUCCAGGAAAAGCCUCUAAGCAUCAGGUAACAUCAAAUCGUACCCCAAACCGACACAGGUGGUCAGGUAGAGAAUACCAAGGCGCUUGAGAGAACUCGGGUGAAGGAACUAGGCAAAAUGGUGCCGUAACUUCGGGAGAAGGCACGCUGACACGUAGGUGAAGUGAUUUACUCAUGGAGCUGAAGUCAGUCGAAGAUACCAGCUGGCUGCAACUGUUUAUUAAAAACACAGCACUGUGCAAACACGAAAGUGGACGUAUACGGUGUGACGCCUGCCCGGUGCCGGAAGGUUAAUUGAUGGGGUCAGCGCAAGCGAAGCUCCUGAUCGAAGCCCCGGUAAACGGCGGCCGUAACUAUAACGGUCCUAAGGUAGCGAAAUUCCUUGUCGGGUAAGUUCCGACCUGCACGAAUGGCGUAAUGAUGGCCAGGCUGUCUCCACCCGAGACUCAGUGAAAUUGAACUCGCUGUGAAGAUGCAGUGUACCCGCGGCAAGACGGAAAGACCCCGUGAACCUUUACUAUAGCUUGACACUGAACAUUGAGCCUUGAUGUGUAGGAUAGGUGGGAGGCUUUGAAGCGUGGACGCCAGUCUGCGUGGAGCCGACCUUGAAAUACCACCCUUUAAUGUUUGAUGUUCUAACGUGGACCCGUGAUCCGGGUUGCGGACAGUGUCUGGUGGGUAGUUUGACUGGGGCGGUCUCCUCCUAAAGAGUAACGGAGGAGCACGAAGGUUGGCUAAUCCUGGUCGGACAUCAGGAGGUUAGUGCAAUGGCAUAAGCCAGCUUGACUGCGAGCGUGACGGCGCGAGCAGGUGCGAAAGCAGGUCAUAGUGAUCCGGUGGUUCUGAAUGGAAGGGCCAUCGCUCAACGGAUAAAAGGUACUCCGGGGAUAACAGGCUGAUACCGCCCAAGAGUUCAUAUCGACGGCGGUGUUUGGCACCUCGAUGUCGGCUCAUCACAUCCUGGGGCUGAAGUAGGUCCCAAGGGUAUGGCUGUUCGCCAUUUAAAGUGGUACGCGAGCUGGGUUUAGAACGUCGUGAGACAGUUCGGUCCCUAUCUGCCGUGGGCGCUGGAGAACUGAGGGGGGCUGCUCCUAGUACGAGAGGACCGGAGUGGACGCAUCACUGGUGUUCGGGUUGUCAUGCCAAUGGCACUGCCCGGUAGCUAAAUGCGGAAGAGAUAAGUGCUGAAAGCAUCUAAGCACGAAACUUGCCCCGAGAUGAGUUCUCCCUGAGACUUAGAGUCUCCUGAAGGAACGUUGAAGACGACGACGUUGAUAGGCCGGGUGUGUAAGCGCAGCGAUGCGUUGAGCUAACCGGUACUAAUGAACCGUGAGGCUUAACCUUACAACGCCG
rnacentral:rRNA from 1 species